rnacentral:lncRNA from 1 species
UUUGUUUCCAAAAAGAUAUAACCAACAAACAUUCGUUUGGGCCUUAAUACCUUUUCUUCUAAUACCUUUUAGCCCCUAGCCACAUUACAAGCUUAAUAAAGUCCACACAGAUUGGAUAAUGUUUGCUAAAAUUUUCAUAAAGCUUAAUUUCGCGAUAAGGGGAAAUGACUUUCAAUGUGUCGAAAAAAGAGAGAAGAGGAGAAAAAAAAAAGAGAAAAAAAAAAGAAAAGAAGAAAAAAUAAAUGUCUCAAGAAAAGGGGAUCUUCCUACCAACUAGCCAGAAGCAUGCAAAAAGAAAAAUCAAACCCAUUGGGGGCCAUCCUUUUAGCCGAUCCUUUUCAUGCCCACUACCUCUUCCAAACUGAACCCCUUGCCGAAGAAAAACUGGGGCAACUUUGUGAACCUCACACGAAUUUUUCAUCAACCCAUACCACGAUA